CCAAUGGUGGUGUAGCGGUUAGCAUGUUCACCUUAUAUCGCUGAGGUUGGGGGUUCAAAUCCCACCUCUACUGUG